rnacentral:rRNA from 1 species
CUAUACAUGCAGUCGAGCGGACAGAUGGGAGCUUGCUCCCUGAUGUUAGCGGCGGACGGGUGAGUAACACGUGGGUAACCUGCCUGUAAGACUGGGAUAACUCCGGGAAACCGGGGCUAAUACCGGAUGGUUGUUUGAACCGCAUGGUUCAGACAUAAAAGGUGGCUUCGGCUACCACUUACAGAUGGACCCGCGGCGCAUUAGCUAGUUGGUGAGGUAACGGCUCACCAAGGCGACGAUGCGUAGCCGACCUGAGAGGGUGAUCGGCCACACUGGGACUGAGACACGGCCCAGACUCCUACGGGAGGCAGCAGUAGGGAAUCUUCCGCAAUGGACGAAAGUCUGACGGAGCAACGCCGCGUGAGUGAUGAAGGUUUUCGGAUCGUAAAGCUCUGUUGUUAGGGAAGAACAAGUGCCGUUCAAAUAGGGCGGCACCUUGACGGUACCUAACCAGAAAGCCACGGCUAACUACGUGCCAGCAGCCGCGGUAAUACGUAGGUGGCAAGCGUUGUCCGGAAUUAUUGGGCGUAAAGGGCUCGCAGGCGGUUUCUUAAGUCUGAUGUGAAAGCCCCCGGCUCAACCGGGGAGGGUCAUUGGAAACUGGGGAACUUGAGUGCAGAAGAGGAGAGUGGAAUUCCACGUGUAGCGGUGAAAUGCGUAGAGAUGUGGAGGAACACCAGUGGCGAAGGCGACUCUCUGGUCUGUAACUGACGCUGAGGAGCGAAAGCGUGGGGAGCGAACAGGAUUAGAUACCCUGGUAGUCCACGCCGUAAACGAUGAGUGCUAAGUGUUAGGGGGUUUCCGCCCCUUAGUGCUGCAGCUAACGCAUUAAGCACUCCGCCUGGGGGAGUACGGUCGCAAGACUGAAACUCAAAGGAAUUGACGGGGGCCCGCACAAGCGGUGGAGCAUGUGGUUUAAUUCGAAGCAACGCGAAGAACCUUACCAGGUCUUGACAUCCUCUGACAAUCCUAGAGAUAGGACGUCCCCUUCGGGGCAGAGUGACAGUGGUGCAUGUUGUCGUCAGCUCGUGUCGUGAGAUGUGGGUUAAGUCCCGCACGAGCGCAACCC